CCUACGGGAGACAGCAGUGAGGAAUAUUGGUCAAUGGCCGUAAGGCUGAACCAGCCAAGUCGCGUGAAGGAAGAAGGUUCUAUGGUUUGUAAACUUCUUUUAUAGGGGAAUAAAGGUAUCCACGUGUGGACAUUUGCAUGUACCCUAUGAAUAAGCAUCGGCUAACUCCGUGCCAGCAGCCGCGGUAAUACGGAGGAUGCGAGCGUUAUCCGGAUUUAUUGGGUUUAAAGGGUGCGUAGGUUGUUUUUUAAGUCAGCGGUGAAAGUUUGGGGCUCAACCAAAAAAGUGACGUUGAAAGUGGAAGACUUGAGUGUGUGAGAGGUAGGCGGAAUGCUGGGUGUAGCGGGGAAAUGCAUAGAUACCACGAAGAACUCCGAUGGCGAAGGCGGCUGAC
rnacentral:rRNA from 1 species